rnacentral:lncRNA from 1 species
AAAAUGAUAUAUAACAAAUGUACAUCAAUGUAAGUUGAAAAAUUAACCUUGAGGUUUACAUUUAUAUGGAAUGACCCUCCACCUGUCUUUGAUUGCUAAGAAGGUUGAUUGGACUCCUUUCGUAUUUCAUCAGCAAAAUUAUUUGAAUCACUAUAUAGCCCAGAUUGGUAUCGUAUAUUGUCUUUAUUCAAAUUCUCAACAGUUAAUUGAUUACAACCAUUUAAUUGAUACGUUGCACUCGACAACCGAUCAACAUUACUCACAACAUUUCUAACAUAGAACCUUCGAAAAAUAGAUCCCGCUGGCCAAAAAUCACUCUUCAUAAAGAAAUCACACUUAUCGACAGGAAUAGAAAUACAAAAAGAGGCGUAGCUUGGAUAUUUCGUCCGACACUUAUAUAUUCUAACAGUACAAUCUGUCUUUAAGGCAAUGUAUUUUUGUAUAUUGCCUUAAAGACCUUAAAACCUUGCCUUAAAUUAUGCGUUUGAUAAAAAUAUUUACGAUCUCCAUUUUUCUUGCAAAAUGUGCAUUCCAAUGGGCUCGUUUGGUUUUACCUGAACUUUUAUGCCAAG